rfam:Clostridium sp. CAG:7 genomic scaffold, scf69
AGAUACCAGGUGCAAAAGGUCGGAAAUCCGUCGCAAGCUUGCUUACAGGAGGAUUUUUGAACUUGGGACUCGUACAAACAUGAGUAAGAAGCCAUUUUUUGAAGAAAAAUGAGCGAAUUACGAAUGUUUUUAGAAUUGCGAGAGUGCAAAGCGCGUAGCAAUUCGGUAUCA